UUAUUGCUUGCGCUGAGCCUCUUCCCAGCUCUCCGCUGGGGUGGAACCUGUUCCUAGCCGCUCAUGGCGGGCACUGAGACGGUGUCUUGUUCCGGGCGCUCGGUCUGACGGUACCUGAAGCCCAGACCUGACGUUCGCCGAGGGAGGAGGCGGGGCGCGGGGACUGGGGGAGCAAGCGGUGCCGGGAGGACGCCUUUUGUUCCCCGAUUUACUCCCACCUCGUCGUCCCUCGCCCCGCAACACGCCUGCGCGGAAGGUGGGGUCGUCCGGGUGGGGCUGCGAGGGGAGGGUGACAUCGCCCCCUUCCCGGGACCCGGACGGAGAGCGCGCCUCCCAUUUCCUGUUGCGCUCGGUGCGGCGGGAUUCUGGGUUGGCUUUCGGAGGCACCCACGUUAGUGCUGGACGCACCCGGAUGCCUUGCUGCCUGGAGUGGGCGGCGCGCGUGUCGGUGUAAAGGCUGUGACUGAUCGCCCAGCAGCCGCUCCGCGGGAGAAGGAUGUGACGGUCUGCUUCCUAAAGAGAACAGCCUCGGGAACCCUAAGGGGCAGCCCUCUGUCCUGUAGGGUCGCUCUGAGUGGGAAUGGACAGGACAGCAGUGGGUUUGGGUUUCGUUUGGUUUGUCAAAAAAGAGGCCGCCGGGAUUACACCUGUUCCAAAUAGUAUGCUGGAUGUAAACAUUCUCUUUUGUAAAAAUGUGAGAACAGGCAUUGUGGCUUCUCCAGCAGUCUUCAUUAAACCCACUGCCGUCGAGUCGAUUCCGACUCAUAGCGACCCUAUAAGACAGAGUAGAACUGCCCGAUAGAGUUUCCAAGGAGCGCCUGGUGGAUUCAAACUGCCGACCUCUUGGUUAGCAGCCGUAGCACUUAACCACUACACCACCAGGGUUUCCCAGUCUUCAUUGCUGGGUACUAUUCGUGGAAGGAUGAGAGAAAUGCUUAGUAAAACCAUUUUCAGUAACAGCAAUGUUGAGCACCCUCUACUGUUUUUGAAAAAGAAAACACAUUGUUUCUGGUGACAUGAAUUAAAGAUAAGGUUUUUCUCCUAUUUAGGCAGGUAGUCUGUAGUCUAUAAGUAUGUCAUAUAUACUAGAGAUGAAGGUGCUGCUGAUUUAUCUUAAUAAUUAGCCUUCCCAUCCCAGCCGCCUACACCCUUCCAACGCGGCACCACUCGGAGGUGCAGUGCAGCCUACACGAUGUUUGGACCACGUUUUAGUUGCUCUAGUAGUGAACGGAUUAUUUUCUGCUUCAGCCAGAAGAGUGCUGAUUGUGACAGAAACACUACCUGGGACCUCUCUCUUGGGCAUAAAACUUAAGGGGCACUUGUGUGUCAUUCCGACCGUCAUUUGCCCAGAACAAGUUAAAUGUCAAGUAAUACUAGUUUGUACAAAAUCACAGGAAGGAGGAUAUGGGAAUGGAAAAUUGGAAUGGGAAAUACGGUCUAAAACAAGAGACAUUUUAUAUAAACUAAUUUAUUACAUAUUUUAACUCACACAAACCCAUUUUCAAUGAAAAGAACCAGAGAAAUAGCAUUUACAAAUGGUGGUACAUUCAAGAACAGUAUCCUUCAGUUAUCUCAGGAAGAAUAUUCAGAAUGAUGGGACGAUUGAUGUCAGUGAUGCCCCAGGAAUGAACUUUGCUUCAAGAAACGUCUAGUCUCUGAGGUUCAUUUUCCUCAUUUACAAAACGAGAGACUUGAACCAGGUGAUUUUCUCCUUUGUUAUCCUGCUCCAUCUUACUAAAAUUUUUCUUUCUUCUCCUACUCAGUUGUCGUUAGGUGCUAUUGAAUCGAUUCUGACUCUUAGUGACCCUAUGCACAACAGAACAAAACACUGCCCACUCCUGUGCCAUCCUCACAAUCGUUGCUAUGCUUGAGCCCAUUAUUGCAGCCAUUGUGUUAAUCCAUCUCCUUGAGGGUCUUCCUCUCUUUGCUGAGCCUUUACGCAGUAUGAUGUCCCUCUCUGGGGACAUCCUGAUAACAUGUCCAAAGUAUGUAAGACAAAGUCUUGACAUCCUCGCUUCCAGGAGUAUUCUGGCUGCCAUUCUUCCAAGACAGGUUUGUUCGUUCUUCCGGCGGUCCAUGCAAUACUCAGUAUUCUUCAUCAGCACGGUAAUUCAAAGCAUCAAUUCUUCUUUGGUCUUCCUUAUUCAUUGUCCAGCUUUCACAUACAUAUGAGGUGAUUGAAAACACCAUGGCUUGAGUCAGGUGCACCUUAGUCCUCAAAGUGACAUCUUAAUGUUUUUUAAUACUUUCCAGAGGUCUUUUGCAGCAGAUUUGCCCAAUGCAAUACAUUGUGUGAUUUCUUGACUACUGCUUCCAAGGGUGUUGAUUGUGGCUCCAAAUAGAACGAAAUCCUUGACAACUUAAAUAUUUUCUGUUUAUCAUGAUGUAGCUGAUUGGUCCAAUUAAAAAUAAACUGGUUUCCCCUAAGAGUGGGGAACAAGCAAGGAUGUCUCCUCUCACCACUCCAAUUAACAUCAUACUGGAA